rnacentral:rRNA from 1 species
AUGGCCGCCGGCGCGUGGCCGGCGGCCGCCGCGGCGGUGGCGCGCGCGGCGGCGCGCACGCUCGGGCGCCUCGUCCCCCGCACCCACACCCACUCCACCGCCGCCACCACCACCUCCUCCCCCUCCUCCUCCCCGGCGCACACCCUGGACGACUACAACCGCCUGCUGGCGGCCCUGGCGCGGGACGGGGACGGCGAGUCGGCGCUGCGCGUGCUCCGCCGCAUGCGCCACGGCUCGCCCGCGGCCUGCGCGCCCACAGCCGCCUCCUACGUCUCCGCCAUGUCGGCGCUCGCCAAGGCCGGCCGCGCCGCCGACGCCACGGCGCUCUUCGACGACAUGCUCGCGCACGGCGUGGCGCCCGACCGCCGCGCCUACUCGCUCCUCCUCCACGUCUACUCCACCCACCUCGGCCUCCCCGCCGCCGGCCUCUCCGUGCUGCACUGGAUGGCCGGCCUCGGCGUCCGCCCCAGCGCCGUCGACUACGCAGACCUCAUCUUCUCCUUCUGCCGCGCGGGCCAGCUCCCGGACGCGCUCCAGCUGCUCGACGAAAUGCGCGAGCUCGGCUACCCGCUCCCCCCGCACGUCUACUCGCCGAUACUCCAGGCCCACUGCGACGCCGCCGACAUCCCGGCCGCCGAGGCGCUCAUCGCCUUCAUGCGCGCCUCCGGGGGCCGCUCCGGGUGCAACCCCGACGUCCUCAUCUACAACAUCUACAUCCACGGGCUGUGCAGGGUCGGGGAUUUCCACGCCGUGCAGAGGGUCAUCAACGACAGCGUCUGGAACUGGUGGGUGCCGGACGCGGUGACCUACAGCACCUACGUUGCCGGGCUCUGCCGGGCUGGGUACAUCGAGGACGCGUUCAGGCAGCUGGACAUCAUGGUCGCCAAGGGGCUACAGCUCACCGUGAUCGGCCUCAACAUACUGCUGGAUUACGCCGCCAAGGAUGUAGACAUGUGGGUUGCCAAGGUGGUGAUGGAGCGCUGCGAAGAGCUGGGCUUCGAGGUCGACGUCGUGACGUACAACACGGUCAUGGAACAUUUCUCCAAGAAGAUGCAGUGGCUGAUUGCCCUCAGGCUGUUCACCGAUCUGCUCAAGAAGCCCAUAACACCCGAUGUGCAGACGUACAACAUCUUGAUCUCAUCCCUGUGCCGAGCCGGCAAGUUUGAGCUCGCCAAGUUCGUCUUCAGUUGCAACGGGUUUGUGGCGGACACUGUGACCUGUAACAUUCUGAUCCAUCAGUUCUACUGUGCUGGAAAGGAGGGCGAGCUCGGGUUCUUGUUCUCUGAUGUUGACGCAGGGAAGAUUACCCCAGAUACAAUCACAUACAACACGCUGGUCGAUUGCCUCUUUAGGUCUGGGAGGAGGACUGAGGCUGCCAAUCUGGUCAGGCACAUCGACGGCGGCUACCCUGCGGAGCCUGUAGCGCAUCUGGCUUUCUGGUUGGUUACGAGCGGAAAUGUUCGAGAGGCUUUGAGUCUGUUUGAUGACAUGCUAGUGAAAGGAGUCGCUUUAGAUGCUAUCGUUUUCGCCAAUGUGAUCAAGGCAUUCUGCAGAAAGGGUCCAGGGGAGUGCACAGAUAUGACACAGCUGUGCUCUGUGCUGGAUAGGAUGCUUGGGAUUGGAUGA